GAGAUUUUUGUGAUGAUCUAGCGAUUUACCUUGGGACACCUAUGAAACCUGUGAUUAGUGUAAAUUUAAAUUGCUGAGAACU